AACUACCUGAGAUGUACGACAACCUUGUUAUUUUGAACCUACAGAACUUUAAACGGGAUUCUUAUAUUUCUGUAAUAUGUCAGGCCGUCAUUACGCAGCGGAAGGCAGAAAAGCAGAUGCGGUUGCCCACCUAGCUGUGGCUAGGAGUCAAAAUACAGGGAACGGCAUUUUGGGGAUCUU
rnacentral:other from 2 species